UCAGUGGGGGAUAUUGGACAAUGGGGGGAACCCUGAUCCAGCGACGCCGCGUGAGUGAAGAAGUAUUUCGGUAUGUAAAGCUCUAUCAGCAGGGAAGAAAGAAAUGACGGUACCUGAGUAAGAAGCCCCGGCUAACUACGUGCC
rnacentral:rRNA from 1 species